rnacentral:rRNA from 1 species
UGCAACCCGACUCCGUGAAGCUGGAUUCGCUAGUAAUCGCGCAUCAGCCAUGGCGCGGUGAAUACGUUCCCGGGCCUUGUACACACCGCCCGUCAAGCCAUGGAAGCCGGGGGCGCUUGAAGUGCGUUGCCGCAAGGCGCGCCCCUAGAGCGAAAACCGGUGACUGGGGCUAAGUCGUAACAAGGUAAC